AUUCCAUGAUGAGGGCAUUUCCGUAAUAAUUCUUUGUACCCUUCCUUUGCCUCAUACAUGGACUCAUCAUCCAUUUCUUGGAAGAUAGUGAUCUCAUUCUUCAACUU
rfam:Gossypium arboreum cultivar AKA8401 contig_53380_1, whole genome shotgun sequence.